rnacentral:rRNA from 1 species
CAGCACCGCGGUAUUACGGAGGGGGCUAGCGUUGUUCGGAAUUACUGGGCGUAAAGCGCACGUAGGCGGCUUUGUAAGUCAGAGGUGAAAGCCCGGGGCUCAACCCCGGAAUUGCCUUUGAGACUGCAUCGCUUGAAUCCAGGAGAGGUGAGUGGAAUUCCGAGUGUAGAGGUGAAAUUCGUAGAUAUUCGGAAGAACACCAGUGGCGAAGGCGGCUCACUGGACUGGUAUUGACGCUGAGGUGCGAAAGCGUGGGGAGCAAACAGGAUUAGAUACCCCGGUAGUCCCUGUCUCUUAUACA